GAGGGUAUAGCUCAGUGGUAGAGUGUAUGCUUAGCAUGCACGAGGUUCUGCAUUCAAUCCACAGUACCUCCA
rnacentral:tRNA from 1 species